UUGCAGAGAGCACGUGACUACCUUAUCGCUAUUGAGUUUCUAAAAGUUCAAAAACAAAAGAAAUAGAAAAACAAAAACAAAAAAUUCAGACAACCUCUGCUAUAUAAACAUAAAGCCACAUAUUUUACACCCAUCAGUUUUCAUCAUCUAUUUAGAAGUCUCUAAUUCUUUGGUGAUGUUUUUGGCUAUAAAAUUAGAAAGGAAGAACUCUCUAAUUCUUCACCUCAUACAUACAUCAAGCGGCCAAAGUCUAAACAGAGAAAGAAAAGUCAGUGGGUCAUAUUUGGAGUGAUCAUGUUUACCAUUUCAAAGGGAUUUGCUGUUAUAUCUGCAACUAAGAACCUCCAACUACCGUUCAGAAAAGAUAUAUUUGCAUCAGGGCGCACAAGAUUUUUGGAAUGGGUGGUUUCGGAAAAUCAGGUGGAGGUAAUCGAUUUGUUAUGUGAUAUUUUAGCACGCUGCUCUCCAAAACCUAAAAAACUCUACUGCUGAAUAUUUUAGCGCGCUGCUCUUCAAAACCCAAAAAACUCUACUGUUGAAUAUUGCGAUCUCCUCCAUUGGUAUCUCCUGCGGUAGUUGUCAUCCUAAGGGUUAAAACAUUGGGUAUCAGUUGAUUUGAAGCUUUCUAAGGUUAGUAUUGAGCAAUCUCAAUUAUUUCUUGCUAAGGCCUAACUCAUCUCACCUCUUUUUUAAGUUAAUUAUGUUUAUGGGUAAACCUUAAUCCCAUCUCUCUCUUGCUAAGCCCUAACUAAUCUCAAGAAUUUUUAAGUUAAUUUCUAUUUAUGGGUAAACCUUAAUCUCAACUAAGUUUUGUACCAAAUAUGAAUUGAAUAUUGUUUGGGUGGGUAACCUUAUUCUAAAUUGUAAAAUUUGAAUGAAAUUUAGUAGCAUUGUAAUUUUAUAUUUUAUACAGAGAACAAGCAUUGUAAAAUUAUGCAUAAGAAUUUCGUUGGAUGUAUAGAAUAUGAUUUAUUGGAGCACGAAAAUACAAUUGCAUAGGGGUCAUGCAAUUCAUAGUUUUCUGUUUGUCAAUUGGCAUAUGUGUUGGCAUAUUACUUUCCAAUUGAGUUUGUUUGUUAUGAUUUGCGAGAAUGCAAUUUCAUAUAUGGUUCAAUAAAAGUCCGUUUGAUAAUUGGAAUAUGAGUAGACAUGUUAUUAUUUUAGUUUAUUCGGUAUGACUGACUAAUAUGGAAUUAUAUAGGGUUCAUGUAAUUUGUUUCUAUGAUUUGGCAAUUGCAUAUGAGUUGACAUAUGUUAUGUGGUGAAGAUUGGUAGAGGCUUUAAGGAUGGAGGCUAGAACCAAACAAUUGGUAGAGGCUGAGAGGGAGCAUUUC